ACGGAAUAGAUACCCCGGUAGUCUUGGCCUUAAACGAUGUUCACUAGGUGUUGGGGGUAACCCUCGGUGCCGCAGCUAAACGCAUUAAAGUGAAACCGCCUGGGGACUACGGCCGCAAGGUUGAAACUCAAAGGAAUUGGCGGGGGACCGGCACAAGCGGUGGAGCAUGUGGCUUAAUUCGAUGCAACGCGAAGAACCUUACCAGGGCUUGACAUGUAUCUGCAAGUCGCCGAAAAGCGAUCGCUUUCGAAGGUGAUACACAGGUGGUGCAUGGCUGUCGUCAGCUCGUGUUGUGAAAUGUUGGGUUAAGUCCCGCAACGAGCGCAACCCUCAUCGUUUGUUACCAGCGAGUAAAGUCGGGGACUCGAACGAAACUGCCUCUGUAAAGAGGAGGAAGGCGGGGAUGACGUCAAGUCAUCAUGCCCCUUACGCCCUGGGCUGCACACAUGCUACAAUGGCUGAUACAAAGGGUCGCCAACUCGCGAGAGUGAGCUAAUCCCAAAAAAAUCAGUCUCAGUUCGGAUCGCAGUCUGC
rnacentral:rRNA from 1 species